rnacentral:rRNA from 1 species
AGAGUUUGAUCCUGGCUCAGAGUGAACGCUGGCGGCGUGCCUAAUACAUGCAAGUCGAACGAUGAAGCUUCUAGCUUGCUAGAAGUGGAUUAGUGGCGCACGGGUGAGUAACGCAUAGGUCAUGUGCCUCUUAGUUUGGGAUAGCCAUUGGAAACGAUGAUUAAUACCAGAUACUCCCUACGGGGGAAAGAUUUAUCGCUAAGAGAUCAGCCUAUGUCCUAUCAGCUUGUUGGUAAGGUAAUGGCUUACCAAGGCUAUGACGGGUAUCCGGCCUGAGAGGGUGAACGGACACACUGGAACUGAGACACGGUCCAGACUCCUACGGGAGGCAGCAGUAGGGAAUAUUGCUCAAUGGGGGAAACCCUGAAGCAGCAACGCCGCGUGGAGGAUGAAGGUUUUAGGAUUGUAAACUCCUUUUGUUAGAGAAGAUAAUGACGGUAUCUAACGAAUAAGCACCGGCUAACUCCGUGCCAGCAGCCGCGGUAAUACGGAGGGUGCAAGCGUUACUCGGAAUCACUGGGCGUAAAGAGCGCGUAGGCGGGAUAGUCAGUCAGGUGUGAAAUCCUAUGGCUUAACCAUAGAACUGCAUUUGAAACUACUAUUCUAGAGUGUGGGAGAGGUAGGUGGAAUUCUUGGUGUAGGGGUAAAAUCCGUAGAGAUCAAGAGGAAUACUCAUUGCGAAGGCGACCUGCUGGAACAUUACUGACGCUGAUUGCGCGAAAGCGUGGGGAGCAAACAGGAUUAGAUACCCUGGUAGUCCACGCCCUAAACGAUGGAUGCUAGUUGUUGGAGGGCUUAGUCUCUCCAGUAAUGCAGCUAACGCAUUAAGCAUCCCGCCUGGGGAGUACGGUCGCAAGAUUAAAACUCAAAGGAAUAGACGGGGACCCGCACAAGCGGUGGAGCAUGUGGUUUAAUUCGAAGCUACACGAAGAACCUUACCUAGGCUUGACAUUGAGAGAAUCCGCUAGAAAUAGUGGAGUGUCUAGCUUGCUAGACCUUGAAAACAGGUGCUGCACGGCUGUCGUCAGCUCGUGUCGUGAGAUGUUGGGUUAAGUCCCGCAACGAGCGCAACCCCCUUUCUUAGUUGCUAACAGGUCAUGCUGAGAACUCUAAGGAUACUGCCUCCGUAAGGAGGAGGAAGGUGGGGACGACGUCAAGUCAUCAUGGCCCUUACGCCUAGGGCUACACACGUGCUACAAUGGGGCGCACAAAGAGAAGCAAUACUGCGAAGUGGAGCCAAUCUUCAAAACGCCUCUCAGUUCGGAUUGUAGGCUGCAACUCGCCUGCAUGAAGCUGGAAUCGCUAGUAAUCGCAAAUCAGCCAUGUUGCGGUGAAUACGUUCCCGGGUCUUGUACUCACCGCCCGUCACACCAUGGGAGUUGUGUUUGCCUUAAGUCAGGAUGCUAAAUUGGCUACUGCCCACGGCACACACAGCGACUGGGGUGAAGUCGUAACAAGGUAACCGUAGGUGAACCUGCGGUUGGAUCACCUCCUUUCUAGAGAAAAGCUUUUAACAUUCGCUUGUUAAAAGCCAAAGAGUAUUACCUGACAAAAGGACUUCUUGUUGCUUAGUUUUGAAAGAUUGAAGUUAUUCUUUCUCUCUUUACUUCUUGAUUGUUUUUAAUAUUUACUUGCUUGUUGUUUGUUAUUUCUUAAUACUUAUAUUUUUAGUUGUUAGUGUUUUUAUAUUUAAUGUUUAAUGUGUUUAGUUUGCUUGUGUUGGUUUCUUAAAUCUUACUUCUUGUUUUUUUCCAUUCUUAUUUUUUACUUAUUGCGUUUUAAUUCUUAUGUUUAACUUUUUGUUUUUUACGCUUUAAUAUUAAAGUUUUAGUUUUGGUGUUUUGCUUCUUGUUUCUUUGUGUUCUUAAGGUUUUUACUGAUUAUAAUUUUUGUUUGUUGUUUAAUGUUUUUAGUUUGUUGUUUCACCUUGUCUUUUGCUUGCUUGAUUUUGGUUUCUUACUGCUUAUGGUUUUUACUUCUUGCUUUUUAUUUAGUUUGAUUUUGAUUUGAUUGUGUUUCGUGUUUGUGUUUUUCUUAAAUCUCAUUUCUUUUGUUUGAGUGUUGGUUUUAGUGUUGGACUUUCUUAAUUCUUAUGUUUGGACUUUUUGCUUCUUGUUUCUUUGUAUUCUUAAGGUUUUUUACUGCUUGUGGUUUGUGGUUGUUGUGUUGGAGUUUUACUUGUUACUUCUUGGGUUUUAAUUUCUUAUUCCUUACUUAUUGCGUUUUAAUUCUUAUGUUUUAAUGUUUGGUUUCAUGUUUUUAGUUUUUCUUGCUUCUUAACGUUUAGUGGGUUCGUUAUUUUUUAAGAGGGUUUAGUGGGGUUUGGUCGUUGGGUUUUAUUUUUUUAAGCCUUAUCUUUAUCUUAUCCUUUAUUUCUUGCUUGUUUUGUUUCUUAUUUUUGAUUUCUUGCGUGUUAAGUUUUAUUUUUUGUGAAAUGUGUAUAAGGGAGUAGGGGUUAUUCUUGAUUUUUUAACGCCCUAUAUUUCUAGGGUUUUAGGCGUUCAAGGAUUUGGGUUGUAAUUUCUU